rfam:Brachypodium distachyon strain Bd21 chromosome 5, whole genome shotgun sequence.
UUUGUACUCCCUCCGUCUCAUAAUUCUUGUCGAAAUAUUACAUGUAUCUAGACUUUUUUAAGAUAGAUACAUCCAUUUGUGGACAAAUUUAAGACAAGAAUUAUGGGAGGGAGGGAGUAUAAU